GUGUCAGCAGCCGCGGUAAUACAGAGGUGGCAAGCGUUGUUCGGAAUUACUGGGCGUAAAGGGCGCGUAGGCGGCCUACUAAGUCAGACGUGAAAUCCCCCGGCUUAACCUGGGAACUGCGUCUGAUACUGGAAGGCUUGAGUAUGGGAGAGGGAUGUAGAAUUCCCGGUGUAGUGGUGGAAUACGUAGAUAUCGGGAGGAAUACCAGUGGCGAAAGCGGCUUCCUGGCCUGUGCCUGACGCUGAUAUGCGAAAGCGUGGGUAGCAAACGGGAUUAGAUACCCCGGUAGUCCACGCCCUAAACGAUGGAUACUGGGUGUUGGUGGUCUUUACCCCACUAGUGCCGAAGCAAACGCGAUAAGUAUCCCGCCUGAGGACUACGGUCGCAAGACUAAA
rnacentral:rRNA from 1 species